rnacentral:rRNA from 1 species
AGGACGAACGCUGGCGGCGUGCUUAACACAUGCAAGUCGAACGGAUUCGUGGCACUUGUGUUGCGGGUUAGUGGCGAACGGGUGAGUAACACGUGAGUAACCUGCCCCAGACUCUGGGAUAACUCCGGGAAACCGGUGCUAAUACUGGAUAUGACAUCAAGCCGCAUGGUUAUGGUGUGGAAAGUUUUUCGGUCUGGGAUGGGCUCGCGGCCUAUCAGCUUGUUGGUGAGGUAGUGGCUCACCAAGGCGACGACGGGUAGCCGGCCUGAGAGGGCGAUCGGCCACACUGGGACUGAGACACGGCCCAGACUCCUACGGGAGGCAGCAGUGGGGAAUAUUGCACAAUGGGCGCAAGCCUGAUGCAGCGACGCCGCGUGAGGGAUGACGGCCUUCGGGUUGUAAACCUCUUUCAGCGAGGGAGAAGCCGUUCGGGUGACGGUACCGUGCAGAAGAAGCACCGGCUAACUACGCGCCAGCAGCCGCGGUA